AGCCUGAAACAGUGUCCCUCUGUUACCCACAUCCCUAGCCUCCAUUCUUCUCUGUCUCCAGUGUGCACGUCUUGCUGCUCAUUCUCAGCACUGUUUGCCCCUGGUGGAGCUGAUGGAAAGGAUGCUUCUUAAAUUUUACAGCACAAGGAGGAAGAGACAAGAGCUCACUCUUUUCUUCAAAUGGAUUUCCCUGCCUUUGAACAUGCAGCCAUGACCACAGGCAAAUUGAGGACAUUUUAAUCGAGACCAACUCCGUUUUGGGCUUCCCGGGUAAUUCAGUGGUAAAGAAUCCACCU
rnacentral:lncRNA from 1 species